CCACCACCUUGUUGCUGCUGCUCUUUGUUUUACCACGUGGCCAUCCUUGCUUGUGCAGGGAAGGUCCUUGGCACUGAUUUUCUAAUACAGAUACAGCCAUGUAAUUGAGGACCCAGGCUGUGGAGUCCUCAUGCAUUUUCAUCUGUACUCCUUACCCCUGCACAGGGUCACUGAGAUUGAAGGGACUGAGACAGACCAACGUCUGCAGGCAGCUACCUACUUGUGACAGGCUGACAUGAGCAGUUACAGCUGAGUGAUGCUCUGAACUCCUGUGCGUUGGCUUUAUUGCACAGUUCGUGAGAGGUGAGAGUAAUGAGCCUGUGCUGCAAAUCCAUCUGGAGUUUGUAUCCAAAUUCCCUCUUACUCUGAUAACUUGGUAUUUAUUACAGUCCUAGCAGACCUCCUGUUCUUCCUGAAAGACCGUGAGACUAAGUAAUGGUGCUGGCAGGGGAAUAUUUUCUUCCUCUACCUCUGUUACUCCUCGCCCUUUUUUGCCUCACUCCUUGGGACUGCACUUACCCUUUUCCCACAAGACAGCAUUUAUUUAUUCCUUGACUGACCUUCUGCCUUGUCCCAACAACUUUGCCCUUGAGGUCAUCUCACCAAUUCAUUAUUCUCAAUGGAGGAGAAAAAUCUCCUUCUUAAUAUCUAAGCUUCU